UUAAUUUUAUUAUUUUUGCAUUAGGUGAUUAUUCACCACGUUUAUUACUAUUGUUCAAUUAUUUAUAACACUAAGUUUAAUUAUUCUAUCCCUAUAAAUAUUUUGUUAAAUUACAUAACCGAAAUACCACAAGUUUAUAUUAAAAGUGCUUAUUUUGUGUAAUAAAGUUAAGUUUAUUGUUAUCACCGCUAUACACUAUUACUAAACUACCACUAUUCACCUAUCUAUUUACUACGACUAUCUAUCUACAACCUGCCAAAGGGUCAAUCAAAGACGAAGGGUCAUCGUUGCAGUUAAAAUUUGUAAUUUUUUGUUCACAGUUUCAAACAAUUUGAUUGGCUCGAAAAAACUUUUAUCGAUAACGAUUUCGUUUAAAUAGCCUUCAAAAUAACAAAUUUUUAUCCAUUGGUUUCAUUGUCGCUCCGAAGACAACAUCAAAUUCAAUAAUUUUUUUCGAGUGAACUUAAUCAAAUUACGAUAAAAAAUGUCCAAAUUACUUCUUGGGUUAAUGGCUGUCCUGAUGAUCAUGUCACUGACGCAAUUCAUCUUUGUACAAUCCUGUAGACCUACCGGCAGCGAGUGCCUGGAAGGUAGAGAAUGUUGUAAUGGUCAAUGCAUUAACAAGAAUGCGCUUGAUUGGCAAAGGCAACAGCGUUUCGGAUCACAAUUUAUUUGUUCAUGAUCCUAAAGACUAAGAAUAUAAAAAUAACGAAUGAUCAUACUUAACGGAUAAUGGAUUUGUAUUUGAUGCAUCAAUAAAAUAAUCAUAACUAAAUGCAUA